UUUAUCAACCGUUAGUACUUGUUUACUUGUCUUUUGGGACUAUUCUACUUUCUUAAUGUGGAUUAUUUGCUUUUGAAUUCUCUAGCACUUUUUCACUAUUAUUAGUUAUAAAAGUGGGAUAGUUCACAUGAGGAUAGCAUCUUCCAAGAGUGUCCAUUGAUUAUUAAAAUUGAUAUUUGUCAGUUCUUGAGAAUUACCAAAUAAAGAGGGAAUAAAAAAAGAAACAGAAAACUAUUUCCACAAGAACCUAAUAUGGUUUAAUGCCAAUGUUGCCCCUACAAAAUUCAUGAUGUGUUGCAUGUCAACUGGCUUCUGCCUUGUGUCUCUAAUUCUAUGAAGAGACUAAAAAUUCUUGUUUUAGGGAAGGAAACAUAAACAAAAACAUAUUGAAAGUUGAGUAGGAGGUUUAGCUAGGGCUGGAGAAUAAUGAUUGGUUUGGGUUUGUGAGGACUAUCUUUCCUCUUUUUGGGUAAGUCGUGAUGACUAGUUACAACUCCUUAUAAGGUGAUGGUGAUAUAGUAAGAAACUAGAGGUGGUCGGUAUGGGCAGUCAAUCCAGGCAAAUCUUUCUUUCGCUCUUAGUUCUCAUAUAUCUCUAAGUAAUUGUUUAGCAAUCCGUCUAUUAUAGAUGCUCAAGUAUUACUAUAAGUUAUCAUUGGGUUGCUGUGGUAUUACUUAGGAUAUCUGGGUUUUCAUUUUGUUAAGAAGAAUUUGUUGAAGACAAUGUUCCUGUAAGACUGAAAUAUGGUUACAAAUACUUCUUCAUCGAAGGACUGCAUUUUUAUUAUUGGCACACUUCAACAUGGUGUGCUUUACUAUCCAAUUUCAUCUGUUCUACAUAGGCCCUUGUCAUAAUUCGAGAGUUCAAUAUUAAUUACUCCUUGUAAAGAAGGUCACUGCACUAACUGAUGUGAACGUCUUUGAAAGAACAAAAAUGACCUGAAGUGUCAGUGCAUUAAUUAACCUUCCUCAAAAGUGAGCUGGACAGAGAAGACACUUUCUGGGAUGUAGAAAAUCUCUCUUUAAAAUUUGUAUUUGUUUGACACAACUUGAUUUAAAACUUUAUUUCUUGACAAAAGCAAUUUUGCAGUACCGUGACAUGGAUGAUGAACAAAAUCAUCAUCUAUGAGCAUUCCACCUGAAGAUCACUAUAGGCAAAGACUUACAGAAGUGAAGUGUAUUGGCUUGCGGUGGGCAGAACGUGCCAGGAAGGUUGCAAUUGAUUCUGGAGAUCGCAGCUUAGAUAAAGUUUUUGAACUUAUCAUGGAAGUUACUAUGAGAACGAAGUAUGCUUUAUUGUAUUUGUCGAAAGCCAUAUGAUCAGAGAGCAAUGAUUGCUUGUGAUCAAUGUGAUGAGUAGUACCAUUUUGAUUGCAUUAACUUAGUUUCCCCACCAAAGGUCUACAUCUGUCCUGCUUGUAAGCCUCAACAACAAGACUUGUCUGCAACACCCUCGGUCGAUCUUGAUAGAUCAGUUAGUGUCAAGUUUGUAGAGCCUUCUCCCUAAACAUACAAAGAAUCUGAGAGAAGCUGAGCCUAGUCCAAGACAAAAGAUGCUUUCAAUUACUGAUCAUAGUAAUAGUUUUAGCAGUGGGAUUGAACGCUUAUGGUGGCAAAAUUGGAAGCCCUCCAGAAGAGCAGCAAAAAAACGUGCUGAGCUUGUUAUUCUUUCUCCUUUUUAUCAUGUACAACAAUAAAACUGGAAGUAGAUGGUUAUCAAUCAUUUAAUUUAUUCACUUGAUAUUUAUGGUUUCUUCUCAAUUAUCUUUCUUCAGCUCCUUGAGAAAUAAUGAGAAAACUUAGUCUUAUAAA